rnacentral:misc_RNA from 1 species
AUGGCCAAUACUACUUCCCAUAAAUACCCUUAUUACAGAAACAAAAAUUUAGUAAUAUGGAACAAUCUUGAGGGCAUAUCAGGAAUCACAAUGUAAUGAGGCAGCAGAGCAACUAUAUGAAGAAAAAACCCUAACACAGAAGAACUCACUACUUGAUCUUAUCUGAGCAAGUAAAGGACUCUCUCUUUGAGGAUAGCAUCUCUUUUUCGACUCUCAGUUGAGCCACCCUCCCAUAUUCUAUGGCCGCUGGCGGCUACACCACUGAGAAAAGAUAAAGGUGUUAGCUUUUCUCCCAAUUAGAGGUCCAAUCCUGCGAUGAAGACUGCCUGCGGUCAGAGCCCAACUUCGUUCUACCGAUUGGGCUGUGAUGGCCUCGCGGGCUAAUCCAAAAAAAGAAACCUUUUAUUGUGUUUGAUUUAUUUGUUUGUUGGAUUGAUUGACUUGCUCACACACUGGAUUUUUCCCCUUUUUUUUUUCCUUUAAUUUUGGUCAGUAAUGAUGAAGAAAGCUUCCAGAGAGAAAGAACUCCCGCUCUGCGUUCUGCUCCCCUGUUCAAGAUCCAAUAUUCGACCAGUGAACGUGAAUCCGAUUUCUAGAUGGAGAAAAGACAGAUUUGGGCUUGGCGAUGACAAACAAGGCAGGCCGCAACCCAACUACAAGAGCUCUGUAAAUGGUUUAGUUUCAAACGACAGGUCGUAGACGCAUAUAACAAUCUUGCACUUAGGAAAUCAAAUGAUAGAUUGGUGCUCUUACAAGUGUUGUUUUUGGUAUUGUUGUUGAAGAACUUCAAAAUAGCUGUUUAACAUAAUAUAAUUGUGGUUACUUGAUUGAAGAUUGUUCGUUCAACAAUAAAAAAUAAUAAAAAAAAAAACACUUGAACUACA